GCUGUAAGAAAUGAAUUUUUUCUGAUUCAUAGAGAUUUCUUCAUUUGGGAUCCAGAUUUGAUAAGACUACAUGGCCUUUGGCUUUGCGCUCAGCUCCAAGGAAGUGACACUGUCAGAAAGGUGCAGAGAGAAAGAAGCAAAAGAGAAGAUCCAUUACUAUCUCAAGAAUGAAUGGCUCAAGCAUCAUCAAAGAGGAGCACAGACACCUUGGUGUAACUCUGUGUGGGCUUGGGAGACUCACAGACCCAGGAAACCACCCAUGGAGGAUGUGCUCAGGCUGCCAUUGAGAUGAUGAAAGCUCGGCCUUCUGGGUCGAGGAAGCUUUAUGACCCAGCACACCACUUUGGAUUCACUUGCUCCAAUAUUUCCAAGUGGUUACUCCAAUUGGGAAACCCAAGUAACUAUCUUCUUGUUAUUCAUACCCCAGAGACAAACAGCACCUUGUCAUUAAGAGCCAGAUAGGAAAUAAACAUGCCACCAACAUGUAUGGCAUUAGAACUGAAGGGAAAUGAGGGCUUCUUCAGCUUCAGAACCUAAGGAUUA